CAGGCCUAACACAUGCAAGUCGAACGAGACCUUCGGGUCUAGUGGCGCACGGGUGCGUAACGCGUGGGAAUCUGCCCUUGGGUCCGGAAUAACUCAGAGAAAUUUGAGCUAAUACCGGAUGAUGACGUAAGUCCAAAGAUUUAUCGCCCAGGGAUGAGCCCGCGUAGGAUUAGGUAGUUGGUGAGGUAAAGGCUCACCAAGCCGACGAUCCUUAGCUGGUCUGAGAGGAUGAUCAGCCACACUGGGACUGAGACACGGCCCAGACUCCUACGGGAGGCAGCAGUGGGGAAUAUUGGACAAUGGGCGAAAGCCUGAUCCAGCAAUGCCGCGUGAGUGAUGAAGGCCUUAGGGUUGUAAAGCUCUUUUACCCGGGAUGAUAAUGACAGUACCGGGAGAAUAAGCCCCGGCUAACUCCGUGCCAGCAGCCGCGGUAAU
rnacentral:rRNA from 1 species